UACGUAGGGGGCAAGCGUUGUCCGGAAUCAUUGGGCGUAAAGAGCGCGUAGGCGGCCCUGUAAGUCCGCUGUGAAAGUCAAGGGCUCAACCCUUGAAUGCCGGUGGAUACUGCAGGGCUAGAGUCCGGAAGAGGCGAGUGGAAUUCCUGGUGUAGCGGUGAAAUGCGCAGAUAUCAGGAGGAAUACCUAUGGCGAAAGCAGGUCUCUGGGCCAUAACUGACGCUGAGCUGCGAAAGCUAGGGGAGCAAACAGG
rnacentral:rRNA from 1 species